GGACAAAAAACACGACACUUAGUGUAGCGUCUUUUUGGCUACACAAAUUGUGGACUUCAAGGCUACGCUUGUGCGCUUUAAAGCCACACUUGUAAUUAUGAAAUUAAACUUCAUUAUAUGCGUAAAAAAAGCCACACUUUGUGUUGCACUUUCUUGGAUUCUCGUAUCGAAUUAUUUGGAAAAGAGGCUAGAAUCAUGUUUUUAGCGACAUGUUUUUUUUUAUGAACCGUUCAGUUUUACUGAAAAUUUUAGUGUAACUUUUAUUGCUGCAUGGUAAUUUUAAACACAUACAUAGUUAACUUUUUCAUAAAGAAAUAUUUGGUUUGUAAUAUUUUAGUAAUAUCGUAUUAAAUAUGUUAAGCGAGGAAAAUAUCGAUUUUCAGUUGUUAAAAAUUAGAAGAUACAACUUUGCUUGCAUUUAAGGUGCUCCCUUUUCUUAUGAUAGCACCUCCACAGAAGGGCAAGAAAAGUCCAAGAAUGGAUUUUGAUGCAAUUUUGGCUUUAUUUUAUAGAGAAAUGGAUGUACACCUCAGUCUUGAAAGAAAAAAGCUCCCUUGAGUUAUUGAAGAAGGAGAAAGUUUUUUUACUGAUUUUAUUCAAGUGUUGCGGCACUCUAUUUAUAAUUCUAAUUAUAACUCUAAUUAUAAGUCGAUAAUACAGCUAUACGGUUGGAAGCCAUACCGAGUAUUAGAUUUGCUUUUGAGUUGCUGCUAGUCUCUUAUUAUGUAUUUAAUGUCAAUUUUCCUCAUGAACUUAUUUGUGUAUAUAUUUUUAUGGGAAAUUUGCUUGGAAUAAACAGCAAAAGAAUUAUCGUCAAUUCCUUGUAAAGAAAGUAUUGCCAAAAGUUUAAGAUUAAAUUAAGCAAUAUGUUUGUGAAACGAAAAAGUAUUUUUAUAA